rnacentral:lncRNA from 1 species
UAAUGCCAAGUUGUCAACCAAUAUCCAAAUGCAUCCAUACAUAUUUUAACAUCAAAACCAGCAUCCAAAUUCAAAGAUAAGUCAGACAACCAACAUCCACCAAGUCACGCAAAUAGAAACAACAAAGACAAAGUGUCAACAACUCAACAUUCAAGAGAAUGUCUUCAACAGGCAAUGUCAAUUGUCAAGAAAUAAUCAUACUUAAAAAAGUGAAACAAAUUUUGCAAUUAAAGCAGUAAAACAGCAACUUCUUGUCCAUUCCACGAUAAUCCUUUCCAACUUUCCAAUUUCAACUGCAGGCCCUAUAUAAAAAAAAUAAUUUAAGUAAUAAAAUAGUAGUGGUAAAAUCUAAAACAAGAUAUUUGAAGAGAAAUCGAAGUGUUAAACACAAAUAAUGUACCUUUCCAAUUAUCACAUUCAUUUUAUGGGAAGUAGAAUCUCUUUUGCUGCCUAUUUACAUUACAGGAAUCUGCCCCUGACAUGACUCGAUUGGAAUAAGAUUCAACUGCGGUUAUGGGCUGACCUGAAAAUAAAAGAAAUUUUAGCUGAUUUUCGAAUCAAAAGCUGCACUUGGAUGAGAAAAAAGAGCUAAUUCUAACUAGUACAACGAAUUCCAUAACGAGUUCAUCCCAGUAGUUGAACAUUUUUAACUAAUACAGCGAAUUCCUAUAAUACAAGGAAAUUUAAUAAUGAAGAUAAAAAAAAAUUAUACUUAACAAACCUGAAAAUAAUCAAGAGGGUUAAAAAAGAACUAUAGCAGGCAUUGCACCAGUCAUAGAUAAUUUUAAGUUGGUUGCUUUUCCUUUACUUCCAAGAGUUAAUAAAGAUUGAGAAUAAAAACUAUAACGAACUAAAACUAACUUCAAUGACCAGAGAUUAAAAGCUAAUUGAAUGAUUUUUCCUUUUAUAUCAGUUAAUAGAAGCCUUUUAACAACGAAUAAAUUUCUUCAAGAAAUGUAUUAAAGAAAGAAUUGAUGGAAGUAUGAAGUAAAAAUUGGUUGUGGAAUCUGAACUCUCACUUUAGCAAAAGUUUGAAUAAUCUAAAACAUGUGAUUGGGUUAAAAUAUUACGGAUACCAUCCCAUUUUACUGGACCUCCAUUAAUUCUCAAUACCCAGGAAAAGAGAACAAAGUUUUUCCUACACUCUGUCAUGGCAAUAGUCUUAAAUUCGUUGCUACUUUUAUCUCAGAAUGCUGCCAGUCACAAACACACUCGCGCACUCAACCGUUUUCACAUAAACUACAAAAGAACAGGACAACCUUCCCAAAACAUUGAACAAGUUUAAACAGAGGUUUAAAGGAAUCAUAUCAAUUGCUGAUUAUAUAGGAGUAUGGGAAAUUCAAAAUUUUUCCCUUCGUUACCAUCUGUUGACUUCUACCUGGUUUCCCAUUCUGGAUGCAGAGUCUUUACUAACUCGGAGCCUCCAAGGUGGAGUAGUAAAGAAGCAAAUCUAACUAGACAAUAGAAGAGACAAAGCAAAGCUGACAAAAACAUUUAAAUUUAAAGCUCGCAAAAACAUUUAAAGCUCGAGCUCUUCCCUUCGCAAACAGGAAGCAAAACUGUCGGUGGUUUUCUUUUUCUUUCUUCUUUUUUUUUCCAACUACUACCAGUAUUUGUGUCGUAAUCACCUUCAUUGCUACUGUUUUGCAGCAGAAAACCAUUUCCGGGCUUGUUGCUACUGCUAAUUUAGUAAAAGAAAACCAUUGCUACUCUAACUUAGUAAAUAUCUUUUGCCGGAAGCGUACAGAUUAUGAACCCUAGUUAUGCGCCUAUUUUGCUAAGAUUUAUUCAGUGAAUCAUACUCCAGAGAUCACAGAAUUUAAGCCAAACCUUAUAAAAUGAAAAUGACGAGGUUGCGACGAAGCUGGGACCAGCCAAAUUACUUAAGGAUAACAUCUUACCUGCUGCACGACUGCACCUGCUUCAAGAUCCAAGGAUUCCAAGCUGCCGGUCGCCGCACGCCUGCACCGAGCCACCGACUGCACAAUCCAAAUGGGUGGAGUAGCAACAACAAAAUGAAACGGCUGGAGCUGGACGGCUGGAGCUAGCAACCCAAAUGGGUUUGAUUUGAAAUUGGAAUUAGGGAUUGAGGUGAGGAAUGGGGAUUAAGGAAUAGGUAAUUAGGGACAGCCGUGCACUGAGGUGAGGAAGAAGAAAGAAGACGGCGUUUUUGGACAAAGAUUGAAUUGAAGCUCUCGACGGCUUG